rnacentral:rRNA from 1 species
AGAGUUCGAUUCUGGCUCAGGACGAACGCUGGCGGCGUGCUUAACACAUGCAAGUCGAACGAGAAGACAUGAGAAGCUUGCUUCUUAUGGAUUCGAGUGGCAAACGGGUGAGUAACGCGUAAGCAACCUGCCCCUUCGAUGGGGACAACAGUUGGAAACGACUGCUAAUACCGAAUACGCUGUAUCUGUCGCAUGACAGGUACAGGAAAGGAUGGCCUCUGUUUACAAGCUAUCGCGGAGGGAGGGGCUUGCGUCUGAUUAGCUAGUUGGAGGGGUAACGGCCCACCAAGGCGACGAUCAGUAGCCGGUCUGAGAGGAUGAACGGCCACAUUGGGACUGAGACACGGCCCAG